ensembl:lncRNA
GUCCAUUUUUUACACGUUAUCUUAUCUAUUUUAUUGCCAUAUCGUUGUUCAUAAUAGUCUCUUAUAAUCCUUUGUAUUUCUUCAUCAUCUGUUGUAAUCUCUCCUUUUUCAUUUCUAAUUUUAUUGAUUUGAUUCUUCUCUCUUUUUUUCUUGAUGAGUCUGGCUAAAGGCUUGUCAAUUUUGUUUAUCUUCUCAAAGAAACAGCUUUCAGUUUUAUUAAUCUUUACUGUUUCUUUCAUUUCUUUUUUAUUUAUUUCUGCUCAGAUCUUUCCUUCUACUAAUUUUUUUUGUUCUUCUUUUUCCAGUUGUUUUAGGUGUAAAGUUAGGUUGUCUUAUUCGAUGUUUUUCUUGUUUCUUGAGGUAGGAUUGUAUUGCUAUAAAAUUCCCUCUUGGAACCGCAUUUGCUGCAUCCCAUAGGUUUUGAGUUAUUGUGUUUUCAUUGUCAUUUGUUUCUAGAAAUUUUUUUAUUUCCCUUUUGAUUUCUUCAGUAACCUGUUGGUCAUUUAGAAAUGUGCUGUUUAAUCUCCAUGUAUUUGUGUUUCUUACAGUUUUUUUCCUUGUAAUGGAUAUCUAGUCUCAUAGCAUUCUGGUCGGAGAAGAUGCUUGAUAUGAUUUCAAUUUUAUUAAAUUUACUGAGAUUUGAUUUGUGACCCAAGAUGUGGUCUAUCCUGAAGAAUGUUCCAUGUGCACUUGAAAAGAAGGUGUAUUCUUCUGCAUUUGGAUGGAAUGUCCUGAAGAUAUCAAUGAGAUCCAUUUCAUCUAAUGUAUCAUUUAAGACUUGUGUUUCCUUAUUGAUUUUGUUUUGAUGAUCUGUCCAUUGGUGUGAUUGGGGUGUUAAAGUCUCCUACUAUUAUUGUGUUACUGUCAAUUUCUCUUUUUAUGUCUGUUAGUCUUUGCCUUAUGUAUUGAGCUGCUUCUAUGUUGGGUGCAUAGAUAUUUACAAUUGUUAUGUCUUCCUGUUGGAUUGAUCCCUUGAUCAUUAUGUAGUGUCCUUCCUUAUCUUUUGUAAUCUUCUUUAUUUUAAGAUCUAUUUUGUCUGAUAUGAGGUUUGCUACUCCGGCUUUCUUUUGCUUCUCAUUUGCAUGGAAUGUGUUUUUCCAUCCUCUCACUUUCAGUCUAUUUAUGUCUUUAGGUCUGAAGUGGAUUUCUUGUAGGCAGCAUAUAUAUGGGUCUUGUUUUUGUA